rnacentral:lncRNA from 1 species
GUGUGAAAGGAAUGGAUGGAGAUGGAGAUCGUUCUCUCCAAUAAAGGUGCAUACUAUGUUCCUGUAUCUCAAUCACUGCUACUGUACCUCAAUCACUGCACUGUCGGUUACGGCAAUUGAUGGCUUUUAGACGUAGAAAGAUCCAUGGAGAUCGCUCAAAUCUAGGUGGUAGCAACGGGAAUGGCAAGAGGUUCUUGUAGGGGCUUGGGGGAGGUCACCGGCUUCCGAUCCGGGCGGGGGUUGGAGUUAUCACCACCGCUG